AAGCACAGAUUUAUCUACUUUAACUAUGUUCUUUUAGAUGUUCCAAUUGGCAAGCCUAGCCAGGCGAGCACAGUGUUAAUAGUGUCUCAAUUAUUUGUCUCCAAUCUUUAAAUAAUUUUGAACAACUGUUAGCUCACGAGUUAAUUAUUGAAAUUAAGUUAGAGAAAAAUUCAUUCUUUAUCGUUUUUGGAUAUCAUGUACGGACUUUUGAAAUGUAAAC
rnacentral:lncRNA from 1 species